rnacentral:rRNA from 1 species
UACGUAGGGUGCGAGCGUUGUCCGGAAUUACUGGGCGUAAAGAGCUCGUAGGUGGUUUGUCGCGUUGUCCGUGAAAACUCACAGCUUAACUGUGGGCGUGCGGUCGAUACGGGCAGGCUCGAGUUCGGUAGGGGAGACUGGAAUUCCUGGUGUAGCGGUGAAAUGCGCAGAUAUCAGGAGGAACACCGAUGGCGAAGGCAGGUCUCUGGGCCGAUACUGACGCUGAGGAGCGAAAGCGUGGGGAGCGAACAGG